GGGGUAGUAAUGGUUUCGACAGGGACUACGAAGCUGGAGAAGCUAUCCGAAGGAGAUCGCGUUAAAUCUCAAACCUAAAUAUAAACGCAGACGAUAAUUACGCGUUAGCAGCAGCCUAAGCGCUGACUGCCGUCGGCACGGACGUACCUGCCCGACCGCCAACCGGCGUCAAAACAGACAGGAAACGACAUACGCAAAGCUUUGAGCGUAUGGGCGUAUCAUGAAGCUACCGAUCCGGCAAGACUGUGCGCCGUCUUGCCCUUGAGGGAAUCUUAACAGACGUACUAUGAUAGUAGAAGGACAGGGGACUGGUUUUUGGACACGGGUUCGACUCCCGUCUACUCCACUC
rnacentral:tmRNA from 1 species